AAAAUUUAUCGCUUAUAAUUCCAUUCGGAGCAGGACAUAUUAACCUCGCGAUGCGAUCUCUUUUUAUCUAUUUAUUUUUUUUCUUUCUUUUUUUUUUUUUUUUUUUUUCUUUUUUUUUCACUUUCGACAAACCUGAGAAAUCGUAGAAGCCGCGUCAUUUUACAUUAGAAUUAUCUUCGAUCGAAACAAUUUAUGCAUAAUAUAUCUUGUUUUAUGUGCUGUUAGAGAAUCGUACGUUAUUAUUAUGCUCAUGUUAUAUUUCAUAGUUUGCGAUAAUAACAAAUUUAUUUUUAUGUUAAAGUUCAACGAGUACGCAUUAGUAAUAGUUAUUUCCUUUAUUUAGCAAUAUUAAUUCCAUACCGAUUAAAUUUUAUUUCAUAAUUUUAAUGUUUAUCAUAUGUUUUAAUUUAUUAUUAUUUAUCUCCUAACGAAGAUCUCUUCUUUUUUAUUUGAUAGUGCGUAUCGUAUCGUAGUAACAACAAAAUCAAAUCCAUCAUUGAGAUGCAUGUUACAGUGUGUUUAACUUUAGUAUCUUUGUGUUAGUGUAAAAUGCAUUAAUGCAAGCAUGUUGCGGAAAAGCGUGAAAGAUUAAAAAAAAUAAAAUAAAAUAAAAUAAAAUAAAAUAAAAUAAAGUAAAAUAAAACAAAACAAAAAAAAACAAGAAACAGUGACAUGCAAUAUUUAUAUAUGCGAGAAUGCUUAUAUAUUAAUACAUAAUAUAAUAAAACGUCGAAAUCGACAUCGUAAGUUUCUAAAGAGUAAAAUAUUUUCAUAACAUUUGACGAGUAACUUUUUUUAUUUCGUUUUAAUGAAUUUUACAACUAAAAUGACGAAGUAUCAAUGUCGGUCUUCGAACGAUUUAUUUAUUUAUUUAAUUUUUUGUUUUUUUCUUUUUUCUUCAUUUUGCGAAUUUAUAAAAGUGUACUCACCGAGCAUGGAGCAUGGGACAUAUGAUAUGUGGUAUCUAAGCCGCAGUAGAAGAGACUGCUUGAAAGAGAAGGAGAGGAUGAAGAGCAGGAGAAGCAUGGUAAAGGAAGAGGAAGAAGAAGAAGAGGAGGUGGAGGAGGAGGAGGAGGAGGAGGAGGAGGAGGAGGAGGAGGAGGAGGAGGAGGAGGAGGAGAAAAGAACGUUUUUCUUCAAAGACUCCUCGUAACUCGGCGUGCUUGAGAGCAGAUUCCCUUCGUAAAGAGAGAAAGAGAAAGAGAAAUAGAAAGACAGAGAGAGAGAGAGAGAGAGAGAAAGAAAGAGAAAGAGAGAGAACUGAGAGCACGUUGUAACGCGUUGUACGUAAAUAUUUAUUCGUUUUUCUCUCUCUCUCUCUCCCCCCCUCUCUUUCUCUCCCCCUCUCUCUCUCUCUCUUUCUUUUUUUCUGUGUGAUCAUCAAGAAAAAGAAAUUCAAGGGAUUUCAAUUCGUAGCGCCAGGAUUACUUAGUGAUUUGAAGCACGUCAAUAUAAUGUUCUUUGCUUAAGAUAACAGACAAGAGAGUUUUUGGUAUAUUCCAUUGAUAAGCGAGAUGUUGUGUGUAGCAGUUCGCGUGGGUCGACCCGAUCAGACGAUGAUGUCAUCAAUAUAGUUUCUAACAAUUACAAUGAUCUGAACUGUCGUAUCUAUCAUUAUAUAUUGGAUUUAAUGAGAAUUUUUUUUUUUAAUCGAUUCGAUGAUCCGAUUAUUCCGAUCGAAUGACUUUUAUUAGAAUUAUUUCUAAUGAUGUUUCGAGGUCGUUCUACAUGUUGACUAAUUUUUCCUCCCAUUCUUUCUUUCUUCUUUUUUUUUUUUUCCUUCUUAUUUUUCUUUUUCUUCUUCUUCUUUUUCUUCCUAUCCUUUUCUUUUUUCUUAUUUUCUUUUAAUUAGCGCGAAAAUAACGGAUUCCUCGUUGAUAUUGAAUAAAACGUGAGUGACCCGACUCGCGAUGAUAAAUACUAAACGAAAUUUUCCGUUGGCGAUUAGCGAAUCUUACGAAAGAGAAAAAGGGAGAAAGAAAGAAAAAGAGAGCGAGAGAGAGAAAGAGAGAGAGAGAGAGAGAGAGAGAGAGAGAGAGAGAAAGAAAGAAAGAAAGAAAGAAAGAAUUAAUAAUAAAAUAUAUAUGCAUAUAAGUGUAUCAAGUGUAUCAAGUAAAAUUAUCAAGAUUUAAAUUAUCUCGAAUGAAAUUUAAAUUCAAAUAUAUAUAAACAUUGUUAGACUUUAUUGUGAAUCGAUUAAUCUAAACGGGAUAAUAUACGUAAGUUUCAUAAUUUUACGAUAAAUCUUUCAAUGCCCUCGAAUUAUGUUAUCAAAGAUGUAUGUAGUAUGUACGUAAUGUUCUGUGAUGCUCUAUGUACGAUGAAGAAAAGAAAUUAUAAAAAUUAAAUACGCAUACUUUUA